GACCCGCUGGCUCAACUGGGUAGAGGUUUGGCUAUGGCCCAGAGGGUCAAGGGUUCGACCCCCGCCGAGGCA